UACGCGCCGAAGCCGUUUUCAGCCGGGCGGUAGCGAUUGUUUUGCUUUCGCUCACGAAAUCAGUGCUUCGUUUUUGCAACAGUUUCAAACCAAAAAAUGGAUAAUCUUUCACAAAAGCAAUACAAUCUUAAAACGUUCGCGAAACGCAAUAGUGUUUGCCAACAAGCCCCACUUGCGACACGCUCCCCCCAAGCAUCAAACAGCUGUUCCAACAUGUAAACAACGGCCGAAACGUCAAACCCUUUGUUCCACCGUGUGCAGCUGUCAGAAAGGCGAACAAAUAAAGCGUAGCUGUUUCCGCGAGAGUCGUCCGCGGUCGCCCUGUCUUUUCGUUUGUUGCCCUUUGGUGCAUUCGCUCACUUUCUUCGUACCGUAGUGCAAAACCGUGCGUGCAUCCGUGUGUGUGUGUGUCUGUGUUUCGGUCCCUUGUUUUCCCGUGUGUGGUUCUCCCUUCCGGUGUGUGUGUUGCUCCGUACCCCCGUUUCGGCAGACCCGGACGGCCCUUCCCGUGUGUCGCAGUGUCCUUCGCGAAUGUGCGGCUGUGCGUGAACCCGUGUGCCACACUGCGGCACCGUAAGUGUUGCCGGGUCAGUUAAGGCGGCGAGUUCGACUGUCCAACCACAAGCAUCAAGCAACGCUGCUCAGCACCAAUCAACCCGAACGCCACACAAGCACAGCACCAGGCGACCAGCUAGCGCUCUCCAGCAAGGGAACGGAAAAGAAGAAAACACACUUGUCCCAUCAGCAAACAAAAGAGAAGAAAAAAAGAACAAAGCCACUGGGAACGUCUCUUUGCCCAUCGUGCACGCGCGCGCCUUCUCCUUAGCAACUGCCGGCUUCCGGAACUGGCAGGCGAACGAGUGUGGCUUGGAUUAACAGUCCACCGGUUAGCACCCCAAUGCCCCAAUGGCUUCCAGGCUGCUGCAGGAGUAGUAUCUCCCGAGACAGCGGACAUCACGCUACGAUAACAACCGACCGCAACCGGGGAGAAACACGUUGCGCACACGUUUGAUGGGGUUUUUUUUUUUCUUCACACACAAGCACUUUGUUUGUUCCCAGACGAGAUUCAGCGAUGCACAAAACAAACAGGACCGCAAACGCACGAGCCGGCCACGCGCGCAUGGGUGGCGGGGUCGGGGCUUCGCUACAAAUAACAGGAGACGCCCCGUGCUCUGCGGAACCGGAAACACGAUCCCGAUCCCGAACCAAGGAGCUAACUCAACUCGACUCGCCCUACCCCGGAGGCGGCCCGGAGACCCCCAAGCGCACCAUGUACUAUCCGACGGCGGAUCUACCGUCGCCGCAAACCUUCCCCACGGCCGGCGGCGGCGGCGGCGGUAUGGCGGCGGGCGAAGGACAUGUGAAAAAGUACUACCGCAAAGCCGAGCACAGAAUCUUCGUCAACCGGUCGAUGCACCUGGAGAACAUCAAGUUCUACGGCUUCGACAUGGACUACACGAUCGCGGAGUACAAGUCGCCCCAGUACGAGCAGCUCGGGUUCGAUCUGGUGAAGGAGCGGCUGGUCAGCCUCGGCUACCCGGCCGAGAUCCGGCAGUUCGAGUACGAUCCGUCCUUCCCGGUGCGCGGCCUCUGGUUCGACUCGCUGUACGGCAACCUGCUGAAGGUGGACGCGUACGGCAACAUCCUCGUGUGCGUGCACGGUUUCGAGUUCCUCAAGCACCACCAGGUGUACGAGCUGUACCCGAACAAGUUCCUGCAGCUGGACGAGAGCCGCGUGUACGUGCUGAACACGCUGUUCAAUCUGCCCGAGACGUACCUGUUCGCGUGCCUGGUCGACUUCUUCACCCACUCGCCCCAGUACGCGGAGCAGGUCGACCGUACCGGCGUCAAGUACGGCGAGCUGUUCAUGUCGUUCAAGUCGAUCUUCCAGGACGUGCGCGGUGCCGUCGACUGGGUGCACAUCUACGGUGAUCUCAAGAAGAAGACGCUCGAGAACCUGGACGAGUACGUGAAGAAGGACGAGCGGCUGCCGAUGGUGCUGUCCCGCAUCCGCGAGUCCGGCGCGAAGCUCUUCCUGCUGACGAACAGCGACUACAUGUUCACCGACCGCAUCAUGACGUUCCUGUUCGACUUCCCGCACGGCGGCAAGCCGGACGAGCCGCACCGGGACUGGAAGACGUACUUCGACACGAUCGUGGUGGACGCCCGCAAGCCGCUGUUCUUCGGCGAGGGCACGAUCCUGCGCCAGGUCGACACGAGCACGGGCGCGCUGAAGGUCGGCACGCACAUGGGCCCGCUGCAGGCGAACCAGGUGUACUCGGGCGGCUCGUGCGACGUGUUCACCAAGCUGAUCGGCGCGAAGGGCAAGGACGUGCUGUACAUCGGCGACCACAUCUUCGGCGACAUCCUGAAGAGCAAGAAGAUACGGGGCUGGCGCACCUUCCUGAUCGUGCCGGAGCUGGUGCAGGAGCUGCACGUGUGGACAGACAAGUGCCAGCUGUUCGCGCAGCUCCAGCAGCUGGACGUGCGGCUGGGCGACCUGUACAAAAACCUCGACUCGAGCGCGAAGGAAAAGCCCGACAUCCGGUCGGUGCGGACCGCGAUCCGGGACGUGACGCACAAGAUGGACCUGGCGUACGGCAUGAUGGGUUCGCUGUUCCGCUCCGGCUCCCGCCAGACGUUCUUCGCCGGGCAGGUCGUCCGGUACGCGGACCUGUACGCCGCCACCAUCCUCAACCUGAUGUACUACCCGUUCUCGUACAUGUUCCGGGCGCCGGCGAUGCUGCUGCCGCACGAGUCGACCGUCGCGCACGAGCAGCGCUUCACGCUGGACGCACCGAUGAUCCAGCGCACCCGGCCGCCCCGCGCCGAGCUGCAGCUGUCGGCGGCCGCCGCGGCCCCACCGCCCCACGAGCUGGACGACGAGGAGGAGGGUGCCGAGGGCGACGCCGAUGCACGCGGGGACGAGUCGAAGGAGGUGGGACGGCUGCUGCUGGGCACACCGCAGCCUUCCUCGCUCCCGUCCGCCACCGGGUCGGAGCUGAGCGUGUCCGUGCCGCACACGCGCCCCGAAACGCCCCGCUCGGUCACGCACACGCACGACGAGGACUACUCGGACGAGGACAGCGACGACCAGAAGCGCACCAAGGGUGGUGAAGCGCGCGGCGCCGGCGAUGGCCCUGCAUCCGCCCAGGCAUAAAGAAGAAGAAGAAGAAAACAACCCCCUCCCCCUCUUUACACCACGUGUCUGCGUGUGUGUGUUUAAUCUUUGUCUUUCCUUUUUUUUGCUGUUUUGGUACGAUUUUUCCCACUAAAAAAAAACGGAAGGAGCGAAAGGCAGGCAGAGGCAAACAAAAAAAAAUACAAACAAAGCCGUGCUACGCACAAAAACCAUUCUUUUCAAGGCGCCUGCUGCUGCUGCUGCUACUCCUUUCUACUCCUUCCUAUUUUUAUUUUUUACAAUUUAAAAUGAUUACCCACUGCUAGCCCGCCGUCUAACAACUAUGCCAUCUGUUAAUUUAUUUUGCAUAGAUCAGCUUGCUCAUUAGACGAGUUGCCCAGCACCCGGGCGGAAAGCAUAGCAUAGCGAAGGCAAGCGGCUGCUAUUUCAUUUCCUCAACUCAACUGCUCGGCAAAGUGGUGACAAUGUUUAGUUUUUAGCUUCGUUGGUCCCUGCACCUCUCACCCUGAGAGAGAGAGAGAGGGAGAGACGGGGAGUAGGAGGUGGAGGGGGGGUGAAUGGUGUGUAGGGCUUGUUGUGGUGUUGUUAAGAAUGUAGCUGUUAAACUCGCGUACGUUACAGGGAGCUUAAGUAACAUGUUUAAAAUAUAUAUAUAAAUACUAGACAGAGAUAGAGAGAGAGAAAAAGAGAGAGAGAGAGAGAGAGAGAGAGAUUUUCUAGCGAGAGAUGCGUUCGUACAAAGGAAGACAGGUUAUUCUUCCCCUUUCGCAGCUAGUAGUAAGGUGGAUGAAGGAUUAGUUUUAAAGCAAACAAUCCAAAAGCAAAAGCACCCACACAAACGCGCGCUCGCGGUGAAUGUACACGUACCCUAGUAAAAUAGGCAGCGAAUCUCUUGGCCAGAAAUAUCCGGAUGUUGGAGAAUAUUUGGACGAAAAAAAAGGACAACAAAUGGUGAAAGAACAGACCCCGUAAAACGCGUUCUUUUGCUGCGCGCGUGUGUGUGUGUGUGUGUGUUUUGAGUGAGUUUUUGGUUUGUGCCUAUUCUUGCCCGUUACAAUUUCAACCACCUGCAUUGAUUGAAUGGUGAAUGGUGGGGAUGGAGGGAAAUCCGGAAGUACGACAUUAACACAAAGAAAUAAUACUAGUACACAGGAACGUUUCGGUGGUUGCUACUCUUUCGUUUUACUAUAUACAGGGCAAGGGCAGACAAGCGUUUAGCGUAUAAUACAACAAAACAAAACAAGCAAUAAGAACGCCGUCAUGCAGCAAACAAAAAAAAAGAAGCAACAUAAAAACCGGCUGUUCAUGCUCAAUUCAUUCGCUCGUUCUGGUGCUUGCGCCUUCUACACUACGCUCCUUCUCAAACAUAUCUCCUUCAGGGCCGUUGUCCAGAGUGUCCAUCUUUAGGGUUUUAGUUGCAUUUUUUUUUUUUUUUUACAAAUCAAACUGAUCGUUUCUGCGCGGUUUUCCCCGGGCUUCCGGGUACGUACGUGGAAGCUCGGAAGCGGAGAAGGAGAUUCAACCCACUAUCCCUUCCCAUCGCAGAGAUAGCCACAAAAUAGCCAACAAACAAAAAAUGCAACAACAAAAAAGCGUUAGGCUAAUUAUAUGCCGUUACAAACCACAACAGUAAAACAAUGUAAUAAAGAGUUUGUUGAAACGUUA